rnacentral:rRNA from 1 species
AACGAACGCUGGCGGCAGGCCUAACACAUGCAAGUCGAGCGAGGACUUCGGUCCUAGCGGCGGACGGGUGAGUAACGCGUGGGAACGUGCCCUUUGCUUCGGAAUAGCCCUGGGAAACUGGGAGUAAUACCGGAUGAGCCCUUUGGGGGAAAGAUUUAUCGGCGAAGGAUCGGCCCGCGUUGGAUUACGUAGUUGGUGGGGUAAUGGCCUACCAAGCCGACGAUCCAUAGCUGGUUUGAGAGGAUGAUCAGCCACACUGGGACUGAGACACGGCCCAGACUCCUACGGGAGGCAGCAGUGGGGAAUCUUAGACAAUGGGGGAAACCCUGAUCUAGCCAUGCCGCGUGAGCGAUGAAGGCCUUAGGGUUGUAAAGCUCUUUCAGCUGGGAAGAUAAUGACGGUACCAGCAGAAGAAGCCCCGGCUAACUCCGUG